ACACUGCGCACAGACAAGAAAGGAAAUACAUUUUUCGGAGUUGUGAAACUUUCUAUUUCGUAAGGAGUUAUGAACGUGAAAUAAUGACACAGACUGGCUACACAAUCUCAUCUGCCGCAGAUACUGUAUCAGGAGGACAGCGCGUUUGUUUGAGGCACUUUUCACUUCAACUGUUUCUGACAUUUUCUCUGUUUCUCGUCAGUUAUACCAAAGAAAAGUUCAAAAACUGCGACAGAUUGCUUAAGAGUGUCUAAAAAACCCUCUAAAACAGAGGGGAAGUUCCAAGAAAAUUUCUAAUGGGAGCUGCUGACAGAGAUUUAGAAAACACAGUUUGUUUAUUUCUAAUAAGGAGUUGGAGGCUGUGGAGAAGCAGAUCCUUGACCUCGUGGGGAAGCAGGCUCAGCUGAGAGAGCGGAGAGCCGUGCUGGAAACAUUCAGGGGUUGAUGCUCAUAAGUCCGGGAUACCCAUGAUCCUUAAGGGUGAAGAGAGCAUCGGAGCGGUCGUGCUUCACGCCGGGGUUAAUGACACCAAGCUGCGGCAGACGCAGACACUAAAGAGGGACUUCAGGAGCCUGAUCGAGACGGUGCGCAGCAUAUCGCCUGCACGAUGAUCAUGUCAGGACCGCUUCACCAUGUAUAGAUGAGGACACGAAAGGUUCAGUAGACUUUUUGCUUUAAAUGAAUGGUUAUUGUCAUGGUGUAAAGAACAGAAACUGCUUUUUGUUAACAUUUGGAAUCUGUUCUGGGAGCGUCCUAGGCUUUUUAGUGCUGAUGGCCUGCACCCCAGCAGAGUCGGAGCAGAACUUCUCUCGGACAACAUCUCCAGGACUCUACGCUCCAUAUGACUAGGCAGUUUGUGAAGACAGAUAAUCAAGAGAUGUGACAAACUGUACAGAAGUCAGUUCCAGAUCCACCCUCUACACCAGACCUCUCUCUCAUAUGGAUUGCUGUCUACUAGCAUAUUGUUUUCUCUUCAGACUUCGGUGGAUGCAGAUAUUACUCAGGGACAUGAAUACUUGAAUAUUGCAAGAAUAGAGAAAGUAAGAAUUACAUAAGAUUUAAGAAUUUAAUGUUAAUUGCUUAAACUAUAUAUUAUACAUACAGUACAGACCAAAAAUACCGAAAAAAAACAGUAAUAUUGUGAAAUAUUAUUACAACUUAAAAUAAUAGUUUUCUAUUUGAAUAUACUUAAAAAAAAAAAAAAAUUAUUCCUGUGAUGCAAAGCUGAAUUUUCAGCAUCAUUACUCCAGCCUUCAGUGUCACAUGUAACAUCCAGUCUAUCAC
ensembl:lncRNA